AACGAACGCUGGCGGCAUGCCUAACACAUGCAAGUCGAACGAGACCUUCGGGUCUAGUGGCGCACGGGUGCGUAACGCGUGGGAACCUGCCCUUAGGUUCGGAAUAACUCCCCGAAAGGGGUGCUAAUACCGGAUAAUGUCUUCGGACCAAGGAUUUAUCGCCUUUGGAUGGGCCCGCGUUGGAUUAGCUAGUUGGUAGGGUAAAAGCCUACCAAGGCGACGAUUCAUAGCUGGUCUGAGAGGAUGAUCAGCCACACUGGGACUGAGACACGGCCCAGACUCCUACGGGAGGCAGCAGUGGGGAAUAUUGGACAAUGGGCGAAAGCCUGAUCAAGCAAUGCCGCGUGAGUGAUGAAGGCCUUAGGGUUGUAAAGCUCUUUUACCCGGGAUGAUAAUGACAGUACCGGGAGAAUAAGCUCCGGCUAACUCCGUG
rnacentral:rRNA from 1 species